UGGGGGGUCGUCUAACGGUAGGACAGCGGCCUUUGAAGCCGUGAAUCUUGGUCCGAUUCCAAGCCCCCCAG
rnacentral:tRNA from 1 species